ACUAGUAACUACUCUACCUAAUAAACAAGCUUCCAUUUCUCAUGCCAUGUUUUUCUUUUAGAACUGUGCAUUUGUACAGAAUAUGUGAUAACAUGGAACCAUUUUGAACUUCGAGAUAAAAUCUCCACUGAAGAAAAUGAUCAGCAAAGAGGAAGUUGCCCAGCAGAAAUGAUGACGGACGCGCCAUCGUACAAUAAGGUUCUUCAGAGGCUGGUAAUAGCAACCUGUCUGCUUUGAGAGGUGCGAAUCUAUCAGUAUCCAGAAUCAUGCUCUGAAAAAGCUGUCAUUUCAUGUCUCCAAAACAGUCUCUGAUUUAACGUAUGAGAUGUCAAGAAGGAAAGGACAAUGAAAGAAAUACCAAAGAGAAGAACUAUUUCAAUUAAGAAGCAUUUCUACAAUAGUUCUUGGAAAUCACAUAAAACAAAGCCUGUCAGAUGCAAUCUGUGUUUAAAAGGUUGGUUCUGUUAAACUUAAAAAUACCAUGCAGGAUGAAAAAAUACACAUCAUUAGCACAGAACAAAUGAACUUUAAAAACUCCUCACUACAUUCUAUAUUUUACUAAAAUUCUCUAAUGAAGAUAGGAAAAAUGCUAUUUCAGUGAAAGGGGCAAUGAGACUGUCAAGGAGGGGAGAGAAUCAUAUCGAUCUGAAUGUAAUCUACAGACAUGUAAGAAGAAAUCGUUUUAUGUGUUUUUCUAAAAUUUUUUAAAUUCUCUUUGCUGCUAAUAAGUAAAAGCCUUUUACAUGAAAUUACAAAUUAACCUUUUUGGAGGGUGCCAUUUCCCUAUGUUGUGGGGUCAUUUUUUUCAUAGAAAGAUAACUAAAACUCUCUCCUAUCACCUCAGUAAUCAAAAACUAUAAGGAGAGUUUGAAAAUAUGUAUUAAUUUUCUAACAAUCUUCUUGCAACAACAGCAUUAGUGCAUAGUGAUAAAUGUCAUAAAGCAAUGAGGUAAACCUAUGCCCACAGUAUUGUUAUACAAGACCUCAUUUCUGUCCCCCCAAAAAAGACCCACCAUCCAAAUAAUAUUCCAAAUAAUAUUGUUUAUUAAUUCAAAUGAAACAUGCAUAAUACUUCUGACCAUUCCUCUACUUGAAAUAUUUCUUAUCAUCUUGUGGGUUUUCAGUUCUCAUUAAUUAUUGAAAGGGCUAUUGGGCUAGUGAAAGAAGAAAUGAACUCACUUGAUGCCCCAUUGCUUUAUCAGUUUCAGUGACACACAGAAUCAAGUCCUUCUGAAGGGGGAUUUUUAAGGAGAAAAUACGCUCCCUCAUCAUGAAAUCAAGAACUUUUUCCAAGUGAGUCUUCUGAAGGCAAUAAGGACAAAGUACUCCAGAGCUUCCUUCAAUCAAAGGAAAGAGAAUCUCCUUAAUACACUUUAAGAAUCUAAAAUUCCAUUGAUGCCUCUAAAAAUAAACAUAAGGAAAGAGCACCAUUAUUGAUUCCCUGCAAACCAAGGAACAUUGUCGCUUAUUGAUAACACUAAACACCCUCCAAGCCUUUAAUGAUUUCUUAACAAAAAGUCUGCCACUGAACAAAAGUUUGAAUCAUCAUAUUAAUAUAUUAGGGCAAAAAAAAAUUAUCAUGGGAGGCACUUGGAAAUUAAUUAAAACCCAGGAUUCGUUUGUUUGUGAGGCAAGAUAAAUAUCACACAUGGGAAAAGAAGUCUAACAACCUCCAUAGUUUUCAGAGCCAAAAUUAGGUUCUGACAGCUAUGUCUCUCUUGUAUGACUCUCCUUGGGGUAUGUUAUACAGAUAUAUAGAAUAUGAAGAUUUUUUUUGAUAGAAGUAUUUAUUACUGACACUUCCGAAACAUUCCAUGGGUGGCAUCAGCAAAGGAUGCUCAAAGUCAGACAGAAAUGUCAGAUUUUCUUCCAGGAUUUUUUUUUUAAUUCUCCCUUCUAUUUCUUUCCCCUCCUUCCCCGCCCCCACCCAUGUCUCUUUCCCUCUAAAUGUCAAUUUCUUUAGAAGUUCAACAGCGGCCCCUAGUGGACGUCCUCAAUUCUCUUUUGAGCUUAACCCAAUUGUUUGAGCUCCCUCAUUCCAUAAUGUGUAUUAAAAAAAAAAAAGGAAAUUA